AAAGAAAGAGGGAGGAAGGAAGAAAAAAGGAAAGGAGAAAGAGAAAGGAGGGUCUAGGGGAGAAAGGGUGGGUAAAGCGUGGGAACAUGAAAUUAGGUUGGGAAUAAGGCAUAGAAAGGGGUGCUAAGAAGGGAUAAUGUAUGCGGAGGAAAGAUUUAUCGCCUUUGGAUGGGCCCGCGUUGGAUUAGCUAGUUGGUAGGGUAAAAGCCUACCAAGACGAAGAUCCAUAGCUGGUCUGAGAGGAUGAUCAGCCACACGGGGACUGAGACACGGCCCAGACUCCUACGGGAGGCAGCAGUGGGGAAUAUUGGACAAUGGGCGAAAGCCUGAUCCAGCAAUGCCACAUGCUUUCUUCCCACCUUAGUGUUGUAAAGCUCUUUUACCCGGGAUGAUAAUGACAGUACCGGGAGAAUAAGCUCCAGCUCCCUCCGUC
rnacentral:rRNA from 1 species